CGAAGACCCCAUGGAGUUUCACUGCAACCUGUUGUUGUUGUAAGAAUUGGCACGUGUAGGGUAGGCGGGAGACGUUACCCAGGAAGGUGCGCUAGCAUCUCUCCGAGUCUACGAUGAAACACCGCCCCUGCUGAUUUUUACGACUCACCUCUUAGGAGGAACAGCUAUAGGCAGGCAGUUCGGGUGGGGCGCCACGCCCUCAAAAAGAUAACAAGGGCGCCCAAUGGUUAGCUCAGGUAGGUCAGAAAUCUACCGAAGAAUGUAAAGGUAAAAGCUAGCUUGACUCGGAACCAGACAAUAGGGUUCGGAGAUAGGAAACUAUGGCUUAGCGAACCAAUCAACCUCCUGAAUGGGGGUGAUUGAUGUCAGAAAAAUUACCCUGGGGAUAAUUGAGUUGUCACGAGCAAGAGUUCAUAUCGACCUCGUGGCUUGCUACUUCGCUGUCGGCUCUCCCUAUCCUGGUGGUGCAGCAGCUGCCAAGGGUGGGGUUGUUCGCCCAUUAAAAGGGAUCGUGAGCUGGGUUUAAAACGUCGCGAGACAGUUUUGUUGCUUUUUGAUGGAGGUGUAGGUGCCUGACGAGAAGGAUCCUUUAGUACGAGAGGAACAGGGAUUCGUCGCCUCUAGUUUAUCAGUUGUCUGACAAGGCAUGCUGAGUAGCCACGCGAUAGCGGAUAAGAGCUGAAUGCAUCUAAGCUCGAAGCCGCCUUGAAAAAGAGGCACCCAUAGAACGCUCAUAAAUGAUGAGUUUGAUAGAAGCCGGAUGUAAGUACCGAGGGUUUCCGAGGUAUUCAGUCCUGGCUUACUAACGUUCUUCGACGCCGCU
rnacentral:rRNA from 1 species